ACCAAGGAGUCUAACAUGUGUGCGAGUCAGUGGGACUCGACUAAGCCCACGGGCGUAUUGAAAGAGAGAAAUAANUGAGUUGGGAUCCAAGACCCAAGUCAUGUUGGAUUGUUUUAUGGCGCACCAACGACCCGUCACCGUCCGAACGUUUUGCGUUCGGUGUGGCGGAGUCCGAGCAUACACGUUGGGACCCGAAAGAUGGUGAACUAUGCCCGGGCAGGACGAGGCCAGAGGAAACUCUGGUGGAGGUCCGAAGCGGUUCUGACGUGCAAAUCGAUCGUCAGACCUGUGUAUAGGGGCGAAAGACCAAUCGAACCAUCUAGUAGCUGGUUCCCUCCGAAGUUUCCCUCAGGAUAGCUGGCGCUCGCGGAUGAGAGUCUCAUCCGGUAAAGCGAAUGAUUAGAGGCAUUGGGGCCGAAACGACCUCAACCUAUUCUCAAACUUUAAAUGGGUGAGGAGUCCGCCUUGCAUGAUUGAAGGCCGGGACGUGGAUGAGAGUGCCUAGUGGGCCNNUUUUGGUAA
rnacentral:rRNA from 1 species